UACGUAGGGUGCGAGCGUUGUCCGGAAUUAUUGGGCGUAAAGGGCUCGUAGGCGGUUUGUCGCGUCGGGGGUGAAAUCCACUGGCUUAACUGGUGGCUUGCUUUCGAUACGGGCAGACUGGAGGUAUGCAGGGGAGAACGGAAUUCCUGGUGUAGCGGUGAAAUGCGCAGAUAUCAGGAGGAACACCGGUGGCGAAGGCGGUUCUCUGGGCAUGUCCUGACGCUGAGGAGCGAAAGCGUGGGGAGCGAACAGG
rnacentral:rRNA from 1 species